GUGCCGGGUGGUACCGUGGAGGAACACGCUCCUGCCGGGGUGGCUCGGGAUCAGCCUGCUGUAGCGGGGGCUCGACCUGCACUAGCGGAGGAGGUCCCGGUAACUCCCUUCUCUCCUCUUGCCUUUGCUGGGCAGCUGCGAGAGCCUCCACCAUCUCGAAUAGUCUAUCUAAAUCCUCCCGAAGUGAAUUAUCUGGGGCCGCUCGAUUUAGUGGGGGCCUUCCUCUCCUCAUUCCCGUGUACCUGCAUUCACAAG
rnacentral:lncRNA from 1 species